rnacentral:lncRNA from 1 species
GCCGGAUGGCCUAUCGGCCGGCCCCGCCUUCCUAUUUCUUCGCUGGCCCGGUCCCGGAGCUAAACCCUCUGCGUUAGCACUGAACUCAAGAGGAGCAGGGUCGAGGGCUACACACAAGAAUGGAGACCUGGCCUCUGAACGGGAGUAACGGCCCACAGUCCCCGCCGGUGGGAUCCCGGCAGCGACACAGUAUCAUGCCCAGUGUGAAACCCAAGUGUGAAUUAAACGAAAUCCUGUCCUUCGUAGGUUUUUAAAUUGA